GUCAUGAGCCACUGUGCCCAGCCUAAGAAUGUCACUUUCUAACAGGUUCAAGAACUCCGUUUAUCUUGGGACCUUAAGAGAAGAGAAUCACUCACCUCACAGGCAUUUGAGGAUACAAACCCGUAACUGGGCUUGGUUUUAAAAGGUCUUAUCUGAGACUCCUUGUGAAACAGAGUUCCAUCAAAGCCAAUCCAAAAGGCCUACGUAGAAAUAAUUAUUCUUCUUGCACUUUAUGCAAAUAAUCAGACCAAGUGUAAGACUACAAUCUGUUUUGCCAACAACUCAGUCCUAUCAUGAUUUAUGUUUUUUAUUGUUGUUGUUUUUUUGUUUUUGUUUUUUUUUUCCAAAAUUGAGGACUGGAGAGAGAGAAAUUGUGUUUCAAAACUUAUCACACAUUUGCCAUUAAAUUCUAAACUCAUUAGUUGUUUUUAAGUUUUUACCUAUAUUUUAGAUGAACCUUGCUUGUUCCUGUGAACCAACCAGCAAGCUCCAGCUCCAGCUCAGAAAGUACAAAAGGCCAUCAAACUCCAAACAGUCAUGCAACUGGAGAGGCGGACAAUGGCCCCUUCUGCUUGGAACCCUUAAAUAAGCCUCUAAGGGACUUUGACUGCUGUUUUGCCAAAACAGCGCCCCCUGUCAGCAGGAAGCAGUUGAGAUCGGUCUUCAUCCUUAUCCUUAUCCUUAUUCUAAUGGCAGUUAGAUGCACUUCUUUAGAGGGGUCAAUGAGACAGCCAGGUGGGAAGGGGUCCCCAGAGAAACUCCAGCCUGCACACUGGGAGGAGUGUACACUGGGGUGGAGCCACGUAAGUUUGUGCCAUUUGCAGUGGGGAAGAGCCCGGCCCCUCCUCUUCCUGGGUGGAACCUGAAAUUCAAACUGUGAAGUGGGAAGCACACCAGCAGGGAGUCUGGCUUUGCAGAGGGAGGGACCGUUUCCCUCUUUCCUUUUCACCCAAUAAACUCUGCCCUCCUCACGCUUCAAAUUGUCUGCGAGCCUAACUUUUCAUGGCCACAUGAUAAGGACUCCCAUGUUUACCUGAACUAAGGAAAAGUCCUGCAACAGUAGACUUCCCCAUUCCAUCCCUCACAGCUUCCACCACAUCCCUAUACCCCUCUCCUAACACACACACCCCCCAAAGAGAACAACAGCCUGAGCUCUAAAUCAAGCUCUCUAAUUUACCAUCUAAGGGUCAUUAAGAAAGUGACUUUGCCUUUCUGUUCCGUGUUUGUCACAUAUUAUAGGGUGCGUAAAGAGGAGAAAACAAUCAACCUUCUAGAACUAAUAUGAAGAUUACGUGUCACAAAAUAAUUGCAAAGUACCAGGUACCAAACAUAUAAUCAAUAAAUUUAGCUAAAUUUUAGUUUUAGAUACAUACUUUCUGCUAUUCUAUUCUGUUCUAAAUAAAAUUAAUUAUCUUCAGUGUUUGCGUAAUGCAGCUCUUCCUAGGGCAGCUUUCUAAUGGAUCAGAUCACUAUAGUGGAUUGUGAGAAAAGGAAAUAUGGUUCGAAAGUGCCUGAAGAGCAGUCGGUGUUUGAGGAAAUGCAUAAAACCAGAUAUUUCACAUCAGGCAGGCCCAGAUAUUCCUCUAACACAGACAAGUGCCUUCAUGCACAUCACCAGAAGGUACCUUAUUUGGCAGAAAAUUUACCCAAUUAUGCCCCCUCCAGGAGACCAAUUCUGAAAAGGUAUCUACUGCUCUGGGCUAAAACAAUAACACAGCGCUUGGCAACUGAACCACAAGCUGGAUUUCACCCUACCUACCCCUUCAGCCUGGUUUCUUUCAGCAGAACACAGCCUGUUCAUUCUUGACCAGGGAUUUACCCUGUAAAGAUCACACCCAAAGUAUAAAUCCAAAUAUUGCUUGAGGCCUGUGUGCCCCACCCUGAUUUGCAGACCACAAACUAUUUGCUUUUAAGCAACUCAUGGAUGGAUUAAAAAGACUGCUGGGGAACAAUUCCUUUCAGAAAAAAGAUAAUGUUUAUUUAUUUAUUUUUUCAAAUUAUAGAAGUUGAAGAUGCAACAUAUGACAUUUUAUUAAAAAAAAAAACCUAUAAAGAAUUUAAAAAGCACUCCCAAUACCCCAAUCCAUAGGAUUAACAGCUGGUAUAUAUGAUAAUGGUGUGCAUAUAUAGUGUCGUAUUUCAACCAGGUAUAUGUACAUUUUUUAGGCACUUAGACCUAUCUCCAUAAACAUUACCAUCAAUGACAUUCAGAUUUUAGAAGAAAAAGCCUGGUGAAGUUUCCAUACUUGAAUCAGGAUUGAAUAUGUCUUUCUUGUUUUUCCUGGCCUUGAUGACCUUGAAGGAGAAAGAGAUAAAGACAGACCAGUUGAGAUGCUGGUGAUCCCACAUUUCUCUCUUCAAUCACACUGUAUCUCCUCCCCAUGCACCACAUCUCUUCCCCUAUUCCUUUCUAAAUGAUUCUUUUCUCACUCUCAUCUGUCUCCUUUAAUAAAUUCUUGACCUUUGAGUCAUGCCUCUCUCUUUAAUUGGGACCGUGAAAUGAGAUACUCACUCCUACUUAGCAUGAGUGCAAGUGAAAGAGCAGGAGAUGUCAGGGAACAACAGGAGAGAGAAAGGAGCUGGUGCACCCAAUGACUAGAGUUGAGGGGAAGGUUUUCAUUGGGUAGAAAGGAAGGAAGAGAGUACAAAAGGUAUUCCUGGUGCAAUUGCUAUCAAAGAAGAUUUGGAAUGUUUGACUGAUGUUCCCGAGAA